AGCAGCCGCGGUAAUUCCAGCUCCAAUAGCGUAUAUUAAAGUUGUUGCAGUUAAAAAGCUCGUAGUUGAAUUUCGGGAUCAAUGUUUCGGUCAUGCCGUUGGUAUGUACUGAUAUUAUUGGUUUCUCACCUUCUAAAGAACCGUAAUGCCAUUAAUUUGGUGUCACGGGGAAUUAGGACUGUUACCUUGAAAAAAUUAGAGUGUUUAAAGCAGGCUCACGCUUGAAUACAUUAGCAUGGAAUAAUGAAAUAGGACAUCCGAUUCUAUUUUGUUGGUUUCUAGGAUCGAUGUAAUGAUUAAUAGGGAUAGUUGGGGGCAUUAGUAUUCAAUUGUCAGAGGUGAAAUUCUUGGAUUUAUGAAGACUAACUACUGCGAAAGCAUUUGCCAAGGAUGUUUUCAUUAAUCAAGAACGAAAGUUAGGGGAUCGAAGACGAUCAGAUACCGUCGUAGUCUUAACCAUAAACUAUGCCGACUAGGGAUCGGAUGAUGUUAAUUUUUAAUGUACUCAUUCGGC
rnacentral:rRNA from 1 species